AUUGAACGCUGGCGGCAGGCCUAACACAUGCAAGUCGAGCGAGCGGCGGCCGGGUGAGUAAUGUCUGGGAACCUGCCUGAUGGAGGGGGAUACCUACUGGAAACGGUAGCUAAUACCGCAUACCAUCAGAUGUGCCCAGAUGGGAUUAGCUAGUAGGUGGGGUAACGGCUCACCUAGGCGACGAUCCCUAGCUGGUCUGAGAGGAUGACCAGCCACACUGGAACUGAGACAAGGUCAAGACUCCGACGGGCGGUAGCAGUGGGGAAUAGUGCACAAUGGGCGCAAGCCUGAUGCAGCCAUGCCGCGUGUGUGAAGAAGGCCUUCGGGUUGUAAAGCACUUUCAGCGGGGAGGCGUUACCCGCAGAAGAAGCACCGGCUAACUCCGUGCCAGCAGCCGCGGUAAUAC
rnacentral:rRNA from 1 species